GUAUUCUUUGACGAUGUUGAUAUAAUGGACAAUUUUCAGAAUAGACAUAUAUCUUAGAAAUGUCUUUUAAAACUGAAUUCUGAACAAAUCUCGCAAGGGCUGCUCCCUUUUCGGUUUGUUUGUAUUCAAGACUUGGCACUAUGCACUGUUCACAGAUAAACGGGACUGACUGUAUGCGGAGGGCAGCAUACUGCAGGCUGCAGGGAGACAUACAGUGCUUUUUGCCCAACAGACUCUUAAGGAAAUGCAGCACUUCUCCUUCAAGAUUUAAGAUACCGUUCUUCUGGAGGAAAACACUGAAAGCAGUCCUAGAUGCACAUUUUGUUUUAAUCUCCUUUUUCCAAAACGGUGUGGGAGAAACUUUUCUUAGUGGCUAUGAUACAGUUGUUGGGGUGCACCCGUUGAAUGCAAGUUUCAAGGGCAGCUACCAGGCCUGAGGACUUCGGAACUUGUUCUUCUAAAUCUUCCUUCUCUGUGAUUUUGAAGAAUCAUAAAAUAGCAUCAAUAAAUUCAUAUUCUACUUAGAAAAUGGAUUAAAGUCACCUACGUAACUUGGUUGAAAGGAAGCGGUGAUAUGCUGCCCUAAUGCUGACUUGUAGCAGAAGAACUAAAAGUUUUUGGACCGUCAGCAGCAGCAAGAAAUCACAGAGCUGUAUUUACAGAGGCCAUUAAUUGUCCAGACUGUUGGGUAACAAAUUCUGAUAAACACGGAUCAGGAUAUGGUUCUUGAAUUAUGCAGAGGAUAAUUUCACAAUCCAGAAAACAGAGAAUUCAAGCAUAGAAAAAGCCAUACAAAACAUCUUAUUGCCAGCUGGGGAGGAAUUUGCAAUGAUGUCAGAAUUACAGGAAAGUUCAGCGCUAGUGACACUGGUCUGCUGGAUCACUCUGUGUGAUAAGGAACAGCUUUAGACAGUGGUCACAAUUACAGUUACAUACUCCACAAAGUAACUGACAUUAUGGCAAAAUGGGCCAUAGCAAUUAGAGGAAAGCUGUGAUAAAGCUAAGUGGACAGAAGCCUGCAAAUGUCUUAGUGAAAACUACUGUAAAACAUGUCGCUACAUGGGUGAUAGAUUUCAAUAUAUAAAAAAAAAGGGACUUAGGAAACGAUGAGCAGAUGCAGCAAUGGAGAAAAGAAAUGGCACUAUGGUGGAAAUAGGCUGGAACAUUCCAAAUGAUACAUAAUUAAAGUACAACAGAUCUUAGCUCCUCUUGAAAAAGGAAUAUUGUCCCUUUCUCGGGAAGUUAACUGUUUGGUAGAGGACCACAAGCGAGCCCAGUACUGCUGCCCUUUACUGUAAUCAGGUUAAAGGGCUGUCACUUACCUCUGAAAUGGGAGCUCAAGUGAUAUCUGUCAACCUUUGGAAGUUUUGCUGGA
ensembl:lncRNA